GCGACCUUAGGUCAGGCGGG
rnacentral:rRNA from 3 species